ensembl:lncRNA
GGAAAUUUACAUCUCUUUGAAUGUGACGCUUAGAAAAAGAGAGCAGGGAAGAAGGAAGAGGAGGAAAAAAGAAGAUAGGGAGGGCAGCGGAGGAAGCAGGAGCUGAUAACAUAUGCAGUUUAUUCUAAGCAUGCUGAUUUGUGUCAGUGCAGCAGAGAAGAAGACGAGUGGAUGGAGGAGAAAUCGGUAAGGAAAAACCCGGGGCCUUAUCUCACCUUUCACCGUAGAAGCCGUCCUGCUGGUGUGAUGCUAUUCUUUGGUAAAAGAGGCUGGAGGACGGCAAGAACCAAGAGAAAAGGCACCUUUAACCUGCUCCUGCUGGACUGCAGAGCUGACGGAGUGUGUGUGCAGCACAGACAGAUGGAGGAGCCCGCAGCAGGGUGACGUGGAGAAGAAACCAAUGAAAUUAGCAGUGAAGAGAAAGCUAAAUGUCAGAAUCUUCUGUGUUCUUUCAAAGCAAUUAUUCCUUAAUGAAAUAAAGCUGCACUGCUGGGUAAAAUAACAAAUGUUGACUGGUG